GUGGGGAAUUUUUCGCAAUGGGGGAAACCCUGACGAAGCAACGCCGCGUGGGGGAUGAAGGUCUUCGGAUCGUAAACCCCUGUCGACCGGGACGAAAGCAGUCUGACCCAAUACGUCGGGCUGUUGACUGUACCGGUGGAGGAAGCCACGGCUAACUCUGUGCCAGCAGCCGCGGUAAUACAGAGGUGGCAAGCGUUGUUCGGAAUUACUGGGCGUAAAGGGCGCGUAGGCGGCUGGGAAAGUUCUGUGUGAAAUCCCUCGGCUCAACUGAGGAACUGCACGGAAAACUGCCCGGCUUGAGUUCGGGAGAGGGAAGUGGAAUUCCGGGUGUAGCGGUGAAAUGCGUAGAUAUCCGGAGGAACACCGGUGGCGAAGGCGGCUUCCUGGACCGACACUGACGCUGAGGCGCGAAAGCUAGGGGAGCAAACGGGAUUAGAAACCCCAGUAGUCC
rnacentral:rRNA from 1 species